rnacentral:rRNA from 1 species
UUUAUGGAGAGUUUGAUCCUGGCUCAGAACGAACGCUGGCGGCGUGGAUUAGGCAUGCAAGUCGUACGGUGUUGAUCCGAAUAGCAAUAUUUGGAUUAGCAUAGUGGCGGAAGGGUGAGGAACACGUGAGUAACAUACCUCAAAGAGUGGGAUAACUCCGAGAAAUCGGAGCUAAUACCGUGUAUGUCGGGAAUUAGGCAUCUUUUUCCCGGUAAAGAUGGGGACCGUAAGGCCUAUCACUUUGAGAGUGGCUCGCGUCCUAUUAGCUAGUUGGUAGGGUAACGGCCUACCAAGGCGAAGAUGGGUAGCUGGUCUGAGAGGAUGGUCGGCCACACUGGGACUGAGACACUGCCCAGACUCCUACGGGAGGCUGCAGUCGAGAAUCUUUCGCAAUGGGGGAAACCCUGACGAAGCG